rnacentral:rRNA from 1 species
AUUGAACGCUGGCGGCAUGCCUUACACAUGCAAGUCGAACGGCAGCACGGGAGCAAUCCUGGUGGCGAGUGGCGAACGGGUGAGUAAUAUAUCGGAACGUGCCCAGUCGUGGGGAUAACGUAGCGAAAGCUACGCUAAUACCGCAUACGAUCUAUGGAUGAAAGCGGGGGAUCGCAAGACCUCGCGCGAUUGGAGCGGCCGAUAUCAGAUUAGGUAGUUGGUGAGGUAAAGGCUCACCAAGCCGACGAUCUGUAGCUGGUCUGAGAGGACGACCAGCCACACUGGGACUGAGACACGGCCCAGACUCCUACGGGAGGCAGCAGUGGGGAAUAUUGGACAAUGGGCGAAAGCCUGAUCCAGCAAUGCCGCGUGAGUGAUGAAGGCCUUAGGGUUGUAAAGCUCUUUUACCAGGGAUGAUAAUGACAGUACCUGGAGAAUAAGCUCCGGCUAACUCCGUGCCAGCAGCCGCGG